rnacentral:rRNA from 1 species
AGUGAACGCUGGCGGCGUGCUUAACACAUGCAAGUCGAACGAGAACGGGUUAUAGCUUGCUAUAAUUGUCAGCUAAGUGGCGCACGGGUGAGUAAUGUAUAGGUAAUAUGCCUCUUACUAAGGGAUAACAAAUGGAAACGUUUGCUAAUACCUUAUACUCCUUAUUAACUAAAGUUAGUAAGGGAAAGAUUUAUUGGUAAGAGAUUAGCCUGUAUUGUAUCAGUUAGUUGGUGGGGUAAUGGCCUACCAAGACUAUGACGCAUAACUGGUUUGAGAGGAUGAUCAGUCACACUGGAACUGAGACACGGUCCAGACUCCUACGGGAGGCAGCAGUGGGGAAUAUUGCACAAUGGACGAAAGUCUGAUGCAGCAACGCCGCGUGGAGGAUGACACAUUUCGGUGCGUAAACUCCUUUUAUAUAAGAAGAUAAUGACGGUAUUAUAUGAAUAAGCACCGGCUAACUCCGUG